rnacentral:misc_RNA from 1 species
GAUGAAGAACGCAGCGAAAUGCGAUAAGUAAUGUGAAUUGCAGAAUUCAGUGAAUCAUCGAAUCUUUGAACGCACAUUGCGCCCGCCAGUAUUCUGGCGGGCAUGCCUGUCCGAGCGUCAUUUCAACCCUCGCGCCAUCUGGGCUGCGGUGUUGGGGACCGGCCUGCCCCCCCGGGGCGCGCCGCCCCCCAAAUUCAGUGGCGGUCUCGCUGCAGCCUCCCUUGCGUAGUAGCACACCUCGCACCGGAGCGCAGCGCGGCCACGCCGUAAAACCCCCGACCCCCAUGAGUUUGACCUCGGAUCAGGUAGGAAUACCCGCUGAACUUAAGCAUAUCAAUAAGCGGAGGA